GCCCCCGCCCGACGCCCCCUUGCCCCCGUCCAUCUCGCCGCAAGGCACGCGGCGCGCCUCGCGAUGCCCCCUCGCCCCCGUUUGUCUCGCCGUGAUGCGUGCGGCGCGCCUCGCGAUGCCCUCUCGCCCAUGCCCCUGCUCGCCUCUUCUCCGCCCCAUCCCCCUGUGUCUAGCGCGCUACCCGCCCCUCCCAACGUCGUCCUCUCCGUCCCAUCCUCCCAUCGUGCGACAACCGAUCCACGCCUCGAGGCCCAGGCCGUGCCACGCCGGUGGGGAAGCGAAACUCACUUACAGGACGCGGAUCUCCUUCCAAACUCGAAGGCGACGAUCCGGCACAGGGGCAACCUUCCAUGGUAGGCGAGAUCCACGGCCCACUCGCGAUGCGCCCCCAUGUCAGCCACUCCCGUUCGUCACCUCACGAUCCGAUGAAGGCGAAGGGCGCACCUAAAGCAUUGUGGCAAGCCGGUAUCUGCCGCAGCGGCGGUAGAGGUCUUCGAGGAGCACAAAGGUGAGGGCGGAGGAGGCGUAGGAACCGAGGGUACCAAAGUCGAUUCAACAGAAUGAGACAGUGGUUUGCAAGGAUCUGUGCACGAGGUUGGUGUUGCGGUGGAGGGAGCAAACAACACAGCUGCUUGUGGGGUGGGGACAAUGAGGCAGCAAGACUCAAGGUCCAGGAUGAUGAACAACAACAGCGGCGUCGACGCAGGAGGCCCUGGUUCAGGCAUGGGUCUGGGAGUGCCGGAUGUGCCAUUGGGGUCAAUAGUAAUUCACGAUAAUGCAGGGUGCUGUCAGCAAGAACAUGGAGAGCCUUGCCGUCUUGGCCUUCCAAUAUUUUAUGAAUUUGGUGAUUGGAUAAAGGAACAAUCUUUUCCUUUUGCAGAUUAAGACAAAAGGGGUCACAAUGACAGCGCUGUUGGCUAAGGCGACAGCAACGGCUCUGCUUCAGCAUCCUAUGGUGAACUUGCAGCUGCAGGGAUGGAAAGAGCUUCACAUACAAAAAUAGUAUCAACAUUGCUAUAGCAGUGGCCAUAGAUGGUGGGUUGAUUACAUCGGUUCUUCAAGAUGCUGGUAAGGUCAAACACUUUACCGUGCACAAUGAAUGUUGAUUUUUUAUGAUUUAUUUAAAUGAGUGGUUACUUGUUGGUUUAUGCGUCUUGACAUUUAUUCAUUGUCAAGGAAACAGAAGGAGUUAGUUGAUAAGGCGCUAGCAAAGCAGUUGCAGCCCCAUGAGUACAACUCUGAUAUUUUUUUGCCUCAUACACAAAUAUGAAUAUGUAGCACAUUGUUGUAUAUCUUUUCUAAUGCUCUGAAUAAGAUGUGGUGGUACAGUGCAGAAUAAUAUGUUCUGUUUUUUAUUCAACUAUUCAAAUCUUAUUUUUAUUCGGCUAUUCAAAUCAUAUUUUUUUUAUUAGCUGAUUGCCGGAGAGAUUGAAAUCAAAGGGGUUGAGCUGCAGGAGAGUUGUAGUUUGUCGUUCUUUUCCAUGGUAGGCAUUUUCAUUGGGAUCAUACAAUUAUUCUCUGUCGAUGUUUACAAGAAAAUAGUAUCUAAAAACAAGAUGCUUCUGUUCCAUGAGGGUGUGAUUGAGACUGAAACGGUGGGUACCAGAGUGAAGGAGUCGGAGGCAGUUUUAGUAGAGAAAGAGGUCGAACUGAUCGAUGAGCCUCAGAUUCAAGAGAGCCCUCCAGUUCCUGCAUUGUUGGAUGAUGAGGUGGAUUUUGCUUAAUCGUCACUUGCUAUUAGAGAAUCCGACAUUCCCGUGAAAAAGGUGCUGAUAAUCGUGACAAUCACUUCUGUUCGGCCACAGCAACCAUAUUACUUGAAUCAGCUAGCCCAUGUUUUGAAAGUUGUAUUGGUACCUCUUCUAUGGUUAGUGGUGGAAUGGCCUGAACAGUCCUAUGAAACAGCAAAAACUCUGUUACAGUCCACUCAGGUGGAAGAGGUUGUUUGUAGAUGUUUUUUGUUUUCAUAUCUGAACUGUAAUAGUAAGGUUACAAUAAUUUUUCACAUAGCUGAUGGAACUUCUGUUUGUGUGAAGCCAACAGAUGGUCCCUCCUGCUAAUUAGAAACCAAUUUUUUUAGACUUUUUCAGCCUCCUCUACUGCUCAUGUUGCUGGCUUGUAAUAGGUGGGCUAGGGGUUAUCUAGAGAUGACAAGGCCCUCAAGUUGGCUUUCCAGCACUGGAUCGAAGCGAUGAGUACAAACGGGCAGUGGGGAUUGGUGGGUUUUACUGCCCAUUCUUGCUCUUUUCAUGGUACAAUUAUCCUGUUUUUUUCCUACAGUGAUGUUUUAUUUUGUGGCACCAUCUUUCGACCAUAAACAAAUACACUCACUUUGAUGAAUGUUGAUAUACUUUCAGCAUUCAAUUGUAGAUAGAAUUCUUGCUUUCGUGUAGAUCUAGGUCAUCGUGUCGCCGUCUUUGUUUGGCUGGUUGUAGAGCCCCCGCUCUAGGUUUGUUUAGCUCCUCGGUUCUUCUAGCUCCGGUAUGGUUUCCUUUUUGCGCAUAGUGGCGGCAUCUGAUGCAUAGUUCGACGGUCCCUCGCGUUGCUCCGGUAUGUCGUGUUCCUCUCAUAUUUCUUCGUCUAUUUUUUGGCCUAUUGUAGAAUUGUUUUGUUUGUUUCCCGUUUUCUUUAUAGAGCACGUGGGAGAGCGCCGCAGCUGCUGCGGCUGUGGCGGAUGUGGCGGCCAUGGCGUGGCGACCUGUGGCAAAUGGCGGCAUGAAGAAGAAGCUGAUUUGAGGAGUCGUCGCUGGACUGGGAGAAGUACAUGAAGGACAAUAACAAAAUUCUCGGAGGUUCAGAUCUCACUGUUCACUAAUUUGAGUGCCUUGACAAAUCACCAUUUAGAUACUUUCUUGGGGAACUAUAUGGUGGCAAUUCACUGGGAAGCACAAUUGCAGUGGGCAAUGAGAAGAAGCGGCAGCGGGUGUACAACACUAUGUUUCAUGUCCCAUGGAGAUGUGAACGGGGAAAUUCAGAGUCGUGUUCGCCUCAAUUCCUGCACCCAUCUUUGCAGCUCUAUAUUGUUCAACAAAAGAUUUGGGAACUGGGAUAGCUGAAGAUGCCUCUACUGAAGAUGAUGAUUUCAGUGGCGACCUACCACCAGAGUUUGAAAAUAUCAUGAUAUUCAAUGGUGUUGAAACCGAGAGUGACAUUGCUCCUCCAGUGCUCGAGGAAAACAAGGAUGCUGUUGUAUCUGCAACAAAAACUGCAAAGUCCCUGGAUGGGUUUGCCUUAAAAACAGGGCAGGAGGAGGAGGGUCCGGAAGAGGUUGAUGCUACUGAAAAAGCAAUGGAAGUGGUUGAUAAUGUUGUGAAGUCCCUGGAUGAAGAGGUAGAAUCAAAGGAGAUGCAGAAGCAGCAACCGCAUGAUUAUAAUAGCAUGAGCCUAGGGGUGGUAACGGGUCAUUUAAUUUAGCCUAGCAAAUUUACGGAUCGAAUCAAGUUAGGGCCGGAUCAUAAAAUAAUACAAUUUUGAACUAAUAAAAUUAAGGGCUUUGUUGGUUCGUGAAGCAAGUAUUAGGGCCAUGAUCCAUUACCACUCCUACAUGAGCCUCAGGAAUCUUAAAGCCACACACAAGAAAUAUCUCAUUGCUGCAAAGGAAGAGGAGGUCACCGAAGGGAAGAGGCUUCCUCUCGAGGAGGUGGAAGAGAACGCAUGCAUCAGCCACUGAACAGAACAAGCAGGCGAUUUUUUUGUGUGGAUGGCGUCUGCCACAAAAGGAUUGAAUCGAGGAGUGUGCUCUGGUUGUGAAGUGAUAACUAGGCUACCACAUGUUCAUUUUCAAAAGUUUUCGUGUGUGAUCGUGAUCAGGGGUGAAACUGUGGUUUCAGCCAACAAACUUGCAGUUCCUAUUGCUUCUCCCCACUUUUUUCCUUUAUAUAUAUUUUGUAUCGGUUACAGAACAUGGUUUAUCCAGUGGUAUGCUGAUGAAAGAUGCUAAGUUUCGCUUAAUAUAAUGUAUAUGAAGGUCCUGGGUACCUCAAAUUUUGUCCA